rnacentral:rRNA from 1 species
UGGGGAAUAUUGCGCAAUGGGCGGAAGCCUGACGCAGCGACGCCGCGUGGGGGAUGAAGGCCUUCGGGUUGUAAACCCCUUUUACCACUCACGAAGGCCCCUGGUUUUCUGGGGGUUGACGGUAGGUGGUGAAUAAGGACCGGCUAACUACGUGCCAGCAGCCGCGGUAAUACGUAGGGUCCGAGCGUUGUCCGGAAUUAUUGGGCGUAAAGAGCUCGUAGGCGGCCUGUCGCGUCUGCUGUGAAAGUCCGGGGCUUAACUCCGGGUGUGCAGUGGAUACGGGCAGGCUUGAGGUAGGUAGGGGAGACUGGAAUUCCUGGUGUAGCGGUGAAAUGCGCAGAUAUCAGGAGGAACACCGGUGGCGAAGGCGGGUCUCUGGGCCUUACCUGACGCUGAGGAGCGAAAGCGUGGGGAGCGAACA